rnacentral:rRNA from 1 species
ACACAUGCAGUCGAGCGGUAGAGAGAAGCUUGCUUCUCUUGAGAGCGGCGGACGGGUGAGUAAUGCCUAGGAACUGCCUGGUAGUGGGGGAUAACGUUCGGAAACGGACGAUAAUACCGCAUACGUCCUACGGGAGAAAGCAGGGGACCUUCGGGCCUUGCGCUAUCAGAUGAGCCUAGGUCGGAUUAGCUAGUUGGUGAGGUAAUGGCUCACCAAGGCGACGAUCCGUAACUGGUCUGAGAGGAUGAUCAGUCACACUGGAACUGAGACACGGUCCAAACUCCUACGGGAGGCAACAGUGGGGAAUAUUGGACAAUGGGCGAAAGCCUGAUCCAGCCAUGCCGCGUGUGUGAAGAAGGUCUUCGGAUUGUAAAGCACUUUAAGUUGGGAGGAAGGGUUGUAGAUUAAUACUCUGCAAUUUUGACGUUACCGACAGAAUAAGCACCGGCUAACUACGUGCCAGCAGCCGCACGU